rnacentral:pre_miRNA from 1 species
AAUAAGUGUAGUCUGGCACUAUUCACGGUUCAGCGUCGGACCCGUUCGUCUUAUUUAAAACAUCUGCAUGAUUAGUAUUUUUAUUGCUAUUAGAUAAUAAAGACAUGAAUAGUACUUUAUGUGUGACUAAAUAUUAUUAAAUUUUUUACAAAUUUUUAAAUAAGACGGACAGUCAAACAUUAGACACGGAUAU